ACACGGCCGCACGCCAGCGCGGCCUGUAGCAGGAACGCGUUCGACGUUGCCACCAAUGUUACACGCAACACAUUACCAUCAUAACACUCGGCGCAACAACAUACCCAAUUUCCUGCUGGCGUACGAUCAUAUGCAACCAGCUUUAGGUGGGGCGAAACGAAGCAACGGUACAAGAUUAACACGUCCAGCAGGCGCGGGAACAGGAGAGAACUAGUCACGUGUUGUGUUCUCAGCGCACAUGCAACAGAUAUGUUAUUAUCGGUGGACGGCGCGCAGAGCAGGCAACGUCGCCCGGAAUGUGAAAACGCCAAGGUUGCGCUCGCCGUGAUAAAAAUAGAAAAUCUUUAUUAUAAAUAAAUUUACGAAACUCA